rnacentral:lncRNA from 1 species
GUUUGAAGCUGUUAGGCAGUAGAGUCCGGGAUGCUCAGAGGUCAUUUGGGAUCAGCAUGAGGGGCAUGAGGGCCUUUCUAAGACAAGACUGUCCUCUCAGGAGGUCAUCCAGUCGUGCCCGCGCCGGGGACACCUGCCCCCGGGGGGGGGAGAGGAGGGGGCUCUGGGUCACGCCCUCCUGGAGAAGAAAGUAAGUGUGGCCCAGUGGCUCGUGUCACUUCUCUAAGUUUUUUUCUUCCUUGUAGAAAAUUUAAGUUGAUAAUAACAAUAUUACAUUGCAAUGUGUUCUAAUAUCAAAGUAAAUUGUUUUCAGGUGAGUAAAAAGAAAAAAGGCACCCGUCCUCCCCACUACCUAGCAGUGACUUCAAUUUGUCAGGUAUUACCUAUCACUGUUUUCUCAGCCCAAAUGUUUUUUACACAGUUGAGUUUAUUUGGGGAAAAUCAUCUUGUACCCUGCUUUUUCAUAAAUAUGCAUAGGAUGUAAUCGUUGUUAAAAUCUUAGCAACAGAGAAGGCUUUUGAAGACCUGAAUGUAAAUCUUGUUUUGUAGUGAAUUGAAGAGACAGAGAUGAAGCGGACGCAGCACGUGAAGACAAUUCUUUCAAGAAGUUUGGCUGCAAAGGAAAAGAUAAAGGUCAGUAGCCAGAGAAGAAUGGCAAGGAAAAGAAAAAAUUUAGGAUUUUUCUUUAAGAAGAGGAGACGUAGUGGUGUUUAUUAGUACAAGAGAAAAAAAAAAAAAAACAACUAGUAGUCAGAGGUUAAAGAUACUGCCAACAAAGAGAAUAACUGAUUGAAUGAUUCUGUAAAGAAAUAGGAGGAGAUAAGAUCCACACAUCAAGUACAUAAAUAGCUUAGGAAAUGGAACCUGGUAGGAAGAUGUCAAAGGGGGUUGUGGAUGUUUAUAAUUUUAAAUCUAUUAUAAGUUGGCAAGAGUAAUGAAGAUAUAUCAAAAUACAUAUAUAUGGCAAAUAAUAUGUAUACUCAGUCACAUUAGUAAUAUUAUAAAUGGAAUAUUAAAUGCUUAUUACAUUGGCAAAGAUUGGGGAGCCUGGGUGGUUCAGUUGCUUGAGCAUCCAACUUUGGCUCAGGUCAUGAUCUCACAGUUGCUGAGUUUGAGCCCACAUCAGGCUCCCAGUCUGCUUCAGAUCCUCUGUCCCCCUCACUCUCUGCCCCUCCCCUGCUCACACUCACUCUCUCCAAAAUGAAUAAACAUUUUUUAAAAAAGAGUAUGCAGAAAAAAAAUUGGCAAAGAUUAAAAAGAAAAUAAUAUAUGUGUUGGGCAAGGGCUCAGUUAAAUAGGCACCCCCCCAGGCAUUUUAGGACUCUGUAUCCUUAAAACGUAUAUAUACUUUGACUAAGGAAGUGUACUUCUAGGAAGUUCUCAAAAGGAAGUAAUCAAAACUGCACACAUACUAAGCUGGAUGGAGUUCAUUUCAGCUUGUCCACCAAUGAAAGAUAGGCGAAAUGCAUUAUACCCAUACUUCUUAGACAUGGAUAACAUGGUUGCAAAUAAGAGAAGUUCACUUAUGUUAGUUUCCUUAAAAGCAUCUUCAGGUUUUAUGGGGCGCCUGGGUGGCUCAGUCAGUUAAUCGUCCAACUUCGGCUCAGGUCAUGAUCUCACAGUUCAUGGGUUUGAGCCCCACAUCUGGCUCUAUGCUGACAGCUCAGAGCCUGGAGCCUGCUUUGAAUCCUGUGUCGCCCUCUCUCUCUGCCCCUCCCCUGCUGGCACUUUCUCUCUCUCUCUCUCUCUCUCUCUCACUCUCUCAAAAAUGAAUAAACAUUGAAAGAAAAAAAGAGCAUCUUCAGGUUUUAUAGGAAGGGAAUGUAGAGUUGCAGUCCGAUUGACUACCCUGAUACAUAAUCAGUGGGAUGCCUUGAACCGUUAAAAAUUAUUUAGAAGACUAUUUAGUGAUAAGAAAAGAUAUGUAAAGUACAUUGUUAAGAGAGAAAAGUGGGUUAUGAAAGCAGCGAUAUGUAGGUUCUUACCACAUGGUGGGUUUUUCUGUUUUUUGCUAUUCUGCUUUCUGCUUAUCUGUAUUCCACAUGACAAAUAUAUAUUUUUCAGGACAUAUAAAAUGUUGCUCUUUUAUUUUUUCUAAUGUUUAUUUUUGAGAGAGAGAGAGACAGAGUGGGAGCUGGGGAAGGGCAGAGAGAGAGGGAGACACAGGAUCCGAAGCAGGCUCCAGGCUCUGAGCUGUCAGCACAGUGCCCAAUGUGGGGGCUCAAACUCAUGAACUGUGAGAUCAUGACCCGAGCUGAAGUCAGAUGCUUUACUGACUGAGACACCCAGGCGCCCCAUAAUGUUGCUCUUUUAAAGGUGUGACUAACUUUGUAAGUGAGGAAGGAAGUUGGGGAAGUGCUCUCCCGAUGACUUUGAAAUAGAUGAUGGCUCUCUGUGAAAUAGAAGAUCAAAAGAAAUUUGAUACUCUAACAACCUGAGAGAACUAUUUUUUAAAUGUAUCUUAUAGAUGCAUAUAAUUUAUCAAUGCCCCCACCAGUCUCAGAAAAGAUUGAGUGUGCUCAGAAAGAGAUAUAUGCUAUAAUAGGAGAAAAAUGAUAGGAAAAGGUAAAAAGUUAUUGGAAAACAAAGAAAAUAAAGGCAAGGGUAUGUUAAUACCCCCAAAAUAAUCAUGCCAAAAGGUCCUAUGUAAUUGGUAGAGGCAUGCUACCACAAAUUAGUCUGAGGUCCCUAGCAACUAAAGCAAAACAUAGUUCUAAGUUUCACAUGGUCUGUAAGAUUUUUUUUUAAGUUGUUUAAGAGAAGUAAGGGCGCCUGGGUGGCUCAGUCGGCUAAGCGUCCGACUUUGGCUCAGGUCAUGAUCUCGCGGUCCGUGAGUUCGAGCCCCACGUCAAGCUCUGUGCUGACAGCUCGGAGCCUGAAGCCUGCUUCGGAUUCUGUGUCUCCCUCUCUCUGACCUUCCCCCAUUCAUGCUGUGUCUCUCUCUGUCUCAAAAAUAAAUAAACGUUAGGGGCGCCUGGGUGGCUCAGUCGGCUAAGCGUCCGACUUCAGCUCAGGUCACGAUCUCACAGUUCGUGGGUUUGAGCCCCGCGUCGGGCUCUGUGCUGACAGCUCAGAGCCUGGAGCCUGUUUCAGAUUCUGUGUCUCCCUCUCUCUCUGACCCACCCCAUUCAUGCCCUAUCUCUCUGUCUCAAAAAUAAAUAAACGUUAAAAAAAAAUUUUUUUUAAAUAAACGUUAAAAAAAUUUUUUUUUAAAAGACAGAAGUAUAGUUUGGUACAGAAACCUGAGAAAAAUUCUUCCCUAGGUCCUGGUAAGGGAAUAAUAUGAGAUUCCUCUAUUACUAUUGUGUUUAUUCUAUUUUUAUAGAAUUUAGCAACAUCUCAGAAAGGUUAUAUUCCUAUUUAUUAACUCAGUAAUUACAAGCUCUUAUUAAGUACAGUGAGAAAUAGAAACACAUGUAAGACAAAGUUUCUGCCCUCAUUUAUUGUGAAAGAAUAACUAUAACAUAAUUGCAUAUUUAUGAUAUUUAAUGAAAAACUAGUAAGAUGAAUAGUAUGAUGAAUACCAGAAUAACUAACAUGAGGAACUAUAAAUCAAGACAAUGUUUGAAGCAAAAAAGUGAGAUGGGAUUCCUGCAAUACACAGAAAGGCUUUCAACCAGUGGGAUCACGUUUAACCUUUUGUAAAAGGGGAUGGUACUCCCCUUUUACAAAAGAGGAAACAGGUUUACAGAGAUCAGAUAAAUUGUCCAGGGUCACAUAGCUGGUAAAGACAAGAGCCAGGAUUUCAAGCCAAUUCUGUCCCUUGAAAACCACCUUAACUACUACACUGUAUGGGAGAGAUAGCAUUCAAAUAGACUUUAAAGGGUAGAAAAGCUAUGUCAGGCAGAGUUUGGGGAAAGAUAAUCUAGGUGAGAGGACAGCACUAAACAAAUCAAAAAGGUUGGAAUGCCUAGGGUAUGUUUUGGAUAACACACAAACACCCCAGGAAAAUGAGAGAUAUAUAGGUAAGCACUAGAAGAAAAAGACUAGGAAGGUUGGGACAGAUAUUUUAAUUUUUGAGAAUUAGUUUACCUGUAGUUUACCUGAUAAAGGACUCAGGCCUCAGGGCCUGAUAAAGCAAGAGUUUUAAGCCCAGAGACCUUGAACCUGAAAAUUCUAUGUGAGGGCUCUGGAUGGGGAAUUCAAGGGACACUAGGUCUAGAUUAGGGACUCACCCCACCCAGGUGAGGAAGGGGUUUAAUGGCAAUAAUAGAAUCCUGUUACACGUUAGCUGUAUAACAUUGGUCAGGUAAUAUAAGAUCUUUGGGCCUCAAUUCUUUAUCUCUUAGAGAGAGGAGGAGGAAGGAGACUGUUAGACAAGAUGAUCUCUUAAAACCUCUUCUAGCACUAACAUCCGGUGAUCACAUAGGCCAGAGAUUGCACACUCACAUGCCUAAACUAAGGAUUAAGAUUUCAUAAAUGAGUAAAUGAAUUUGAUGUAAGAAGAAUAAGGAAUGGUAGAGAUUAGCGGUAGUUUAGAUGUCUCAUCUAAAACUCCAGGCAAUUCUUGCAUGAGUGAAGACUCCGUGUUGCCAGAUUUUCAAAUUUUUUCCAAGAUACAAGAACACCGUAUUUGUAAGAAUAUUAUACAGGACAAAUAAAAUACCAUUCUUGUUUAGGGCCUUUUAUCUGUAGCAGAGGUUGAAAAUUAAACAGGCUCCAGGCUCUGAGCUGUCAGCACAGAGCCCGACGCGGGGCUCAAACCCACAAACUGUGAGAUCGUGACCUGAGCUGAAGUCGGACGCUUAGCCAACUGAGCCACCCAGGCGCCCCUAACGUUUAUUUAUUUUUGAGACAGAGAGAGACACAGCAUGAAUGGGGGAAGGUCAGAGAGAGGGAGACACAGAAUCCGAAGCAGGCUCCAGGCUCCGAGCUGUCAGCACAGAGCUUGACGUGGGGCUCGAACUCACGGACCGCGAGAUCACUGUAUCUGGCCAGCUAGAUACAGUCCCAUGGGUCACUAAUUUUCAACCUCUGCUACAGAUAAAAGGCCCUAAACAAGAAUGGUAAGUGUUUGAAUGAAAAGAACUAAAUAUGAGGAAAGAGGAAAGAAUCAAAGAGAAUAAUACCAAUUUUUCCCCUAGGUAAGAAGGAGGAGGUGGUAACUAAAUACUAAAUACUAAUAAAUGCUAAAAUCAUCAGAAGGUUUGGAGAGAGUAGGUGCUUGACUCUGAGGUUUUUUUAGCACAGGACAAACUUCUUGGUCAUGGGUGUCCACUGCACAUGAAUCUAAUUCAGCUGUUGAGUUUGAGAAAUCUGUGGGAUCAUCUGGGCAAAGGGUGCAGGAAAUGUAAGGGAGAGAGGAUAAAACAGGAGUUAAAGAUGUAAGAUUCAUUCCCUCAAAGUAUUAUUAAACAUGUAGCACAAUAUGUAUUUGUUAUUUCUUUUUUUUUUAAUUUUUUUUAACGUUUAUUUUUGAGACAGAGAGAGACAGAGCAUGAAUGGGGGAGGGUCAGAGAGAGGGAGACACAGAAUCCGAAGCAGGCUCCAGGCUCCGAGCUGUCAGCACAGAGCCCGACGCGGGGCUCGAACUCAUGGACCGAGAGAUCAUGACCUGAGCCGAAGUCGGCUGCUUAACCGACUGAGCCACCCAGGGGCCCCUGUAUUUGUUAUUUCUUAAGACUAUAAAUUCUGUGAGGGCAGAAACCAAAUAUGUUUUUUUCACCCCUUAUCCAGCACCUAGCACAAUAUAUAAUAGGUGCUUAAUGUAUGUUGAACAAACAGAUUGAUAAAUACACCAUGUGUUUCACUAGCAUCCUGAGACACAGGGUUGAAUUCAAAAAUGUUCUCAAAGAAGCUUAUAGGCUAGAAAGUAAGUCAAGUCUUAUAUUUAAUUAAUUAAUCUAAGUUUGAAAGUAGUACCAUUUUUAAAAAAUAGUUACCAUGGGAUUCAGAGAAAAAGAUUUUUAGAAGUUACACUGGGCUCUCAUAAUGGAUAGUUAAGAUCAGAUCAUGCAGAUGUUGGAAAGAACUAAUCAAAAGCAUCUAAAUUGAAGGUGCAUAUUUUUCUUCUGAAAGUAGUGUUUGCGACUGCCAAGAUAGUGAAUAGAUAAACAGUUUGAAGCCAAAACCUUGAGAAUCACCCAAAUGUAAAGAAGGUAAGGAAGAAGAACCAACAGAGUAAACACGGAAGAAGUCAUCAGAAAACUAAGAGAGGCAUCAGGAGAAAGAGUUACAUAGGAACCAAAAAUCCACAUUUCAAGCAAGACGGGUCAAUCAGUAUUUGUCAAAUACUAUAGAAACAGCAAGCCAUGAAGGAGGAUCAAAGGCCAUUGGAUGUAGUGAUUAAGGAAAUCAUCAAUGACUUCCAACUAAACAGUGUCUUUAUAGUUGACCAAUGAUUAGAAGGGAGAGGAGCAUGAAAGACCAUAGAAUUCAGAGGCUUUUGAUUUGCUUAGGGAGGGAGGGAAUGGAGUUACUUAACAGGGGGAAAAUCUAGAAAAGGACUGAGUUGCAAAAAAAAAAAAAAAAAAGAAUAAUUCAUGAACCAAGACUUUGGAGGAUCUAAACAGUAAUGAGAUCAAGAAAAGAGAGAAGAGUCACUGUCAAGAAUCAGCAUUAUAAUUCUAACAAAUAUUAAUAACAGAGAUAAUAUUUUCCUUAAUCUCUCAACAUAUUUUCCUAAGUAGUUACUUGGUUUCUUUUUACCCUUAUGGCCCCAAAGUAACUUUUGAUAUGCUGAAAAUAGUCUUAAAACUUUAACUUUGUAACAUUUCUCUUUUUUUAAUUUUUAAAGUUUAUUUAUUUAGAGAGAGGGGGUUGGGGGAGAGGCAGAGAAAGAGAGAGAGACCCAAGCAGUCUCUGCACUGUCAGUGACGAGCCAGACGCAGGGCUUGAACUCACGAACCAUGAGAUCAUGACCUGAGUGGAAACCAAGAGUCAGAUGCUUAACCAAAUGAGCCACCCAAUCGCACCUCAACUUUGUACUAUUUCUUAAUGCUUCCUUAAAAUCCUCUUUUUAUAAGUAAGUAGGUAUUAUAGUACAUUAUUCCUGCAUUUUUUUUUUUUUUGUUAUUCCACAUCCCUUCAAGAAACCACUUCUCCCCAGCUGUAGCUUGUGUAGUUCAAGUGGAACUGAUUCCCAACUCCCCACCCUGCCCCUCCUCCUAUACUUGAUCCAGAUCUGGCCAAUGACAACCAUCACUGACACUUUCACUAACCCUAUAAGGAAAAAGACUCUCUUCCUCUGAUAUUGCAGGUGCUGAAGACCAUAUAAGCAUGGAGUAGACAGGCCACCUUUGCUACUACAUGGAAGCUUAUUUAAAGUUGAAGCUUAAAAAGCCAACCUGGAAGAUAGAAACCAAAUCCUGAUGACAUUAUUUGAGCCCAGGGAUCCAAACAUGCCCAAAGACUAUUUUGCCACUGGACUUUUCAGUUAAAUGAGCCAAUAAACUCUCUUUUAUG